CUGAAAUCCACUUGUGCCAGUGUGUCCCAAAUCCUAAGUGUUUAAGCGUCUGUAGCAUCAGGGUCCAGUCUACUCUGUCAAACGCUUUCUCAGCAUCAAUUGACAGGAGCAGACUGGGGUGCCCGGCUCGUGUGGCGUGGUGCAUAAGAUUCAGGAUCUUGGUGGUGUUGUGCUUGGCUUCUCUGCCCGGGAUAAAACCGGACUGAUCUGCAUGCACCAAUCCUGGAAGUAUC